AGCAGCCGCGGUAAUUCCAGCUCCAAUAGCGUAUAUUAAAGUUGUUGCAGUUAAAAGCUCGUAGUUGAAUUUUGGAUUCUUCCAAUUGGUCCAUCUUUUAGAUGAGUACUGGUUGUGUGGGGUCUAUCCGCCUGGUGAUACGUAAUGUCCUUUAUUGGAUGUUGCGGGUAGUCAGGACCUUUACCUUGAAAAAAUUAGAGUGUUUAAAGCAGGCUUAUGCCGGAAUACAUUAGCAUGGAAUAAUAGAAUAGGACGAAGUUGUUUUAUUUUGUUGGUUUCUAGGACAACCGUAAUGAUUAAUAGGGAUAGUUGGGGGCAUUAGUAUUCAAUUGUCAGAGGUGAAAUUCUUGGAUUUAUUGAAGACUAACUACUGCGAAAGCAUUUGCCAAGGAUGUUUUCAUUAAUCAAGAACGAAAGUUAGGGGAUCGAAGACGAUCAGAUACCGUCGUAGUCUUAACCAUAAACUAUGCCGACUAGGGAUCGGGCGACGUUGUUUCCAUGACUCGCUCGGCACCUUAUG
rnacentral:misc_RNA from 1 species